rnacentral:rRNA from 1 species
UAUGGCGACCGGCGCACGGGUGAGUAACACGUAUCCAACCUGCCGAUGACUCGGGGAUAGCCUUUCGAAAGAAAGAUUAAUACCCGAUAGCAUAAUGAUUCCGCAUGGUUUCAUUAUUAAAGGAUUCCGGUAAAGGAUGGGGAUGCGUUCCAUUAGGUUGUUGGUGAGGUAACGGCUCACCAAGCCUUCGAUGGAUAGGGGUUCUGAGAGGAAGGUCCCCCACGUUGGAACUGAGACACGGUCCAA